CAGUUCGGAGGCCGCGGCGACGGGGGGAGGCGAGGGAGGGGGAGACCUUUCCUCAAAGCGAUCCCCGCUGCGAAGCCAUCUCUCGUGUACAUUACUGAACCUUCUCUGGAGUUACAGGAAGUUUUUAAAUGGAAACUGAGAUCUGGAGAUGCUAUGCUUUCAGACACAAGAGGAAGGAUAUCUCCUGGAUGGAGAUACCUACAUGAAGCUUCAUCAUUCCUGAACCUUGGGAGGUUUGAGGAAGAGGACAGCAGAUGAGAGGCUGCAACAUUCAGCUCUUAAGCUGGAGAGUCUCUCUUUCCCUCCCGUGCUACGAAAUGGGUACAAGAAACACUGACCAACACAUGUAGCCUCAUCACAUCCCAAGACCUCUGCCCAGUACCCCAGCACCUGCAGGGAUGGGAUUACAGCAGCACCUAUGCUGAGGUUUAAAACAAGGAUAAAUUCCUAGCCUUUAGUUUUGUGGGGCUCAGUCUGAAAUGAGACAGGGUUGAGACCAAUCCAGUGAUGUCUGUUGGAGCCCAAAGCCUCCCUCUGCAGCCAGCCAGACACGUUCCCCAGACUGCACCCGGCAGUGCGGAUCUCUGCUGUGGCUCAUCUGCCUCCUCCUCUGUGCCCAGUUUCAAAUCUCUUCAGCAAUAUGUUCUGUAACAAUUAAGGAUUUCUGGGGCAACUCCAUUAAGAUCAGAAAGAUAUCCUUCUGCUUUGAAAUAUGUGAGCAUUAAUGAUCCAUUCAGCACAGCACCCCUUGGCCAGUCAUAUCUCUCUGAUGAUCAAAUAUAUUUUUAAUUAUCAAUCUAUCUGAGGGGAUUUUUUUUUCACUAGACAAUAUCCAACUGUAUUGUAAGAGCCAUUUGGAUUGAUGCAGAGAAUUUGGCAGCAAGAUAGGGAACAUUUGGGCUUUCAACACUUAGGAACAUAUGGAAAGAGGUUUGGAAGAUUGCCACGUGGGAUGUAGCUUGGAAGAUGCUACAUUUCUUCAUCCUUUUUGUUUUUUUUUCUGAAUAGAAAUAGAAGAAAUUUUACUUUUUUUUUUUUUUUUAGGAUCCUAAUUCCUGUUUAUUUUCUAUGCUGUUCUAGGAUAAACCACUAUGGUCAGCUGCAUGUUUAUGGGCAGCUGUAGGUGGGCAAUUAAAAGGGUGGUGACAUUGCAGAUCUUUCCAAGUUUUUACCUCCUAAUUCAUGAGAACCCACAGAGGUGAACUCACAAAGCUGCAGCUGGGUGCCUCAGGGCACGGGGUGAAGGAGGGUAUGUGGUGCCCAGCCUGUCAGGAUGUGCACCAUUUUCUGAGGGCUGUGAGGGUAAGGCCCUGCUGGUGCUCCUUCCUUCAUGCUCCUGCUGGGACCAUCUCUCUCCCACUCACCUUGACACCCAGGACUGGACAGACGGUCCAGGCUGUCUGUGUGUCUCUGGUACAGAGUUUCACCAUGUGGCUUGGAGCUUCAGCACCAUAUUACAAAUCCCAGUCACCUUUGAGAAAGCAUGGGAAUGGGACAGAGGAACCUCCUCCAGCUCAGCACUCAGGACUGGACGUGUAUGAACCAGCAUAAUCUUCAUACCACUUUAGGGACAAAUGCCUCAAGCCCAUGAUGGGAGUAUUCUGUGUCUCUCAGAGUUAUUGCCUCUGCUUGUCAGAAGAACAAUGCUUUUUUUCUAAUUUUUAAAAUUUUUUUCUUGGUGUUUCUAUUGUGUCCCAGGCUGGGGGGCUGCAGCAAAUGCAGAAUUCAUUGGAAUACACAAACUUGUAUUUGCACAAUUGGCGAGUGGGCCCUGCAGCUUAGUAAUGCUAAUUAAUCUCUCAGACUGCUAGGAAAUCAUCAUUAUCCCAGCUCAGCAAUGAGAGACAAAGACCUAAGAGAGUGGCAGGGGUUUAUACUGAGUGACAGAGUCAGAGCAGAGAGAAUUGCAGUCUGCUUUGGUGUUCUGAACAGUAAACUACCCAAGUUUGGCAAGACUGCAUCUGAAGAGCAGAAUGGAGGCACCUGGGGAUUUUCCCUUGAUCCCUAUCUCCAAGAGCUCAGCUCAGGGCAGGCUGCAGCUCUCAUCCCACCUGACUGCUCAGAUUUCCUUUCCUUGAGAAGUAAGAGCAAUGGAGACUGCAGCAGGGAGCUGGAAACCGUCCUGACUAUGCAUUCACUUCUGGGAACUGGGAAUCACUCUCAGACACCCUUGUUUUGGUUAGAGUCUGAGUGUUUAUUGUCCACAAAUUCAUUGCAGCUUUCAUCUUGCAUUUUCCUGUGAGAGUUUGUUUCAACACUUGCAGCCAAAUAAUGACUCGACAAGGCAAGUAAGUUCCUGUUAUUUCUUUGCUAAUGGGAUGCCAUUAACAUCACUAAGAUAUCCCUAGCUGAGGUGAAGGCUAAGAAGAUGACAUCCAGGAUCAGGAAGAGAGCAUGGAGGGCUUGGUGACAAGAGCACAGGAAGAAGAAUCUCCACCAAAGGUAUUCAAAGACCUGUAGCAAUAGCUUUUGAGGACUGACCACAGAAGUCAGAAGACCAAAAACAUAGGCAAAUCCCUAAGUCAUGUGGAUGGUAUUUGUUUUAGAAUGAAAUCUCUGCCUUUCUGAAUAAAACCUGGAAACUAUCGUGUGAGCUUCAAGUAUAUUUUUAACCAUAUAUACAGUGACUGCACGUUUCUGAGUCAGCUGAAAUUUGAUUCAGAAUGUUUUAAUAUUUUGCUCCUUCUCACAGAGCACACCUUGAUGGACAAUAGUUAUUCCUAUUUUCUGUGGCCAUAAUAACCCCAAGAUCUGCUGUUCUGAGGAUGCACUUCCCUUAUUGAGUUUCAGUUUUGGUGUCAAUUUGGAAAUCUUUUGACUCUAACACAGUUACAUCCAUAAUUUUCUUAGAGAGAUUAUGGAGCAUUAAAACUAAUGUAUGGACCAACCUUUCCUAAAACCCAUCCAGUUACAUGCUUCUUUGCAUCUCCAUUCCCAUCUCUACUGAUGUAAAAGGAGAAAAGUGACUCUCCUAUCAGCCUGCUCCUGCUGUCUGAUUAGCUGGCAGCUAUCACAGCUCUUCUUUUGCUCUGUUACAGUUUCAUUUCCAGAGGUAAAAGCCCUGAUGAAUAUUGAGCCUCAGGAUUGUGGCACCGCUGCAAAUUAAAUGAGGCUUCUGUUUAUACCAAAGGGCCGGCAGUACCUCCUUAAUCAGGCUGUCUGUUCUUUAGAAAUCAGCAGAUAUUUUGCCUAAAAGCACCCAGCAGUGCAGUGUAACUCAGUAAUAACUGUUUAUUGGGGCUCAGGAGGGAAACCCCAGAAGAAAAACUGUAGGUGCAGUUAGAAGCACUGGUGAGUGGUUGCCUUCGGGGAGUUUCUUUUGUCUUUUGUUUUAAGAUUGCCUGAACUUGAUGGAGGCUCUUUCAUUUAAAAGACAGAAAGACCUACAAAUUAAGCAACAUCUAGCUCCUAAUGUGUGAAACUGCAAUUUGCAUACAUCAUGGCAGCUGCUGAGUUGGUCCUUAUUACCUCUGCUGGAGUGUUAAUUUAACCACAACUUUAUCAUUAAUUUAAAUGGAAAAGCAGCGGGUUGCUGGCAUGCCACAUUAUCUGUCAGGCAACCUGGGAAUCAGCUGACAGAGCCAGAAAGAGAUUUCAAUUCAGAGGGGCUGCAGGGUGCUGCCUCCCCAACCUGUGGUCACAGACAAGCUCCAGAUUGCCCUUAGCCUGCUCUAAAGGUCAACACUAAACCUAAGGAAAAAACCCCAAAUCAAUAUAGUAUCUGGUCUGUCAUAAGAGAAUAGUUAACACAGUCAAACCUGAAAUCUCUGUAUUUCUGGUUUUUCUGUCCCUCUGUACCCAAACUGGCACUGUUUAUACAGAUAUGAUAACCAAAACAUCACUACUGCUUCUGACAACAAAUGGUUUGUAGAGCAACCAUUGCAAUGUGGUCCAGACCCACCCCGAGGGCUGAAGGCACCUGGGCUCUCUGCCCAGGCAGGAGAUGCCAAAGCCCCACGCAGGACGUGCUGGGAGCAGGGAGCAGCUGUGUCAUGAACGGUGCCGGGGCCUGGAGGCACCUCCACACUCAGCUGAUGCCAGAACCGCUCAUGUGGGACGUAAAGCAAACGUGAGGUACCAGUUGCCAAACCAGAGGUUGCCUCAUUCUCCAGGAAAAGAGGCUGAGAAACCCCAAGAAACUGCUGAAAUGGGAGAUGAGAAAAGCAGUGUGAGCCACCCAUGGGCAUGGGGUCACCAAGCAUGAGGGUCUCCUCUCCCAAGCCAUGAUGAUGUGCCACCAUUUGGUGACACAACAGUAUUUUUCAGUGGAGAAUGAGGUUCUGCUCUGAACCAUGGCAAGAAUGACCGGGGAGAUGAGUUCAGAACCUCAGUUGUGAUGUUUCAGUGGCAGAAAAGAAAAAGCAUGUCCUGAUGUCUGGCAGAGUUUAACUGAGCUGAUGUAGGUCUCCUCUAAGUUCAGCUAGAACUGACUGUGACUGAUGGUCCUGCUCCUGGCAAACCAGAGCAAAGCUUCACCCAUGGACACUUCGUGUGCACCCACCCACCAGAACAGGUGUCCUGCUUUCGGGUGAAGUGUGAACCUUGGGUAGCUGUUCUCAAAGUCUGGAUUGUGAUAAAGACACACUUGGAAAAUGGUCAGACUUUCUCCUAAAAAAAGGCUAUUUUUCCAACAAGUGAAUCACUAAGAGUUAAGAUUUAGAAAGGAAUGUCUUUGCUCAUGCAGCACCAGCACGUACUGUAUGACUGGUGUUAUGCAGACACUGUUCUGAAACAUUAAAUUUAACACAUAUUUCCUAAACACAGAUAAAUUUGCAUUAAACGUGCCUUUUCUGUC